rnacentral:rRNA from 1 species
UACGUAGGGGGCAAGCGUUGUCCGGAUUUAUUGGGCGUAAAGAGCGUGUAGGCGGCCAGGUAGGUCUGCUGUGAAAACUCGAGGCUCAACCUCGAGACGUCGGCGGAAACCAUCUGGCUAGAGUCCGGAAGAGGAGAGUGGAAUUCCUGGUGUAGCGGUGAAAUGCGCAGAUAUCAGGAAGAACACCCGUGGCGAAGGCGGCUCACUGGCCCGAUACUGACGCUGAGGUGCGAAAGCGUGGGGAGCAAACAGG